rnacentral:tRNA from 1 species
GCCUCCGUGGUGUAGUGGUAGCACACUCGGCGCGUAUUCGAGAUGUCUAGGUUCAAGUCCCGGUGAGGGCA